GAUCAUGGCUCAAGACGAACGCUGGCGGCGUGCCUAACACAUGCAAGUCGAGCGGGAAAUUCCGAAAUGAGGCUUCGGCGGAUUUUCGGAAUGGAUAGCGGCGGACGGGUGAGUAACGUGUGAGUAACCUGCCUUUGAGAGGGGGAUAACACACCGAAAGGUGUGCUAAUACCGCAUAACAUAUGUUUUUCGCAUGGAGAGCAUAUCAAAGAUUUAUCGCUCAAAGAUGGACUCGCA
rnacentral:rRNA from 1 species